UGGGGAAUUUUGGACAAUGGGCGCAAGCCUGAUCCAGCCAUGCCGCGUGCGGGAAGAAGGCCUUCGGGUUGUAAACCGCUUUUGGCAGGAACGAAACGGCGCGGGCGAAUACCCCGCGCUAAUGACGGUACCUGCAGAAUAAGCACCGGCUAACUACGUGCCAGCAGCCGCGGUAAUACGUAGGGUGCGAGCGUUAAUCGGAAUUACUGGGCGUAAAGCGUACGCAGGCGGCUGUGCAAGACAGAUGUGAAAUCCCCGGGCCUAACCUGGGAACUGCAUUUGUGACUGCACGGCUCGAGUCCGUCAGAGGGGGGUGGAAUUCCACGUGUAGCAGUGAAAUGCGUAGAGAUGUGGAGGAACACCGAUGGCGAAGGCAGCCCCCUGGGAUGAGACUGACGCUCAGGUACGAAAGCGUGGGGAGCAAACAGG
rnacentral:rRNA from 1 species